UACCCGCGGCAAGACGGAAAGACCCCGUGAACCUUUACUAUAGCUUGACACUGAACAUUGAGCCUUGAUGUGUAGGAUAGGUGGGAGGCUUUGAAGUGUGGACGCCAGUCUGCAUGGAGCCGACCUUGAAAUACCACCCUUUAAUGUUUGAUGUUCUAACGUUGACCCGUGAUCCGGGUUGCGGACAGUGUCUGGUGGGUAGUUUGACUGGGGCGGUCUCCUCCUAAAGAGUAACGGAGGAGCACGAAGGUUGGCUAAUCCUGGUCGGACAUCAGGAGGUUAGUGCAAUGGCAUAAGCCAGCUUGACUGCGAGCGUGACGGCGCGAGCAGGUGCG
rnacentral:rRNA from 1 species